UAAUACGUAGGGGGCAAGCGUUGUCCGGAAUUAUUGGGCGUAAAGCGCGCGCAGGCGGCUGUUUAAGUCUGGUGUUUAAGCCCGGGGCUCAACCCCGGUUCGCACUGGAAACUGGAUGGCUUGAGUGCAGGAGAGGGAAGUGGAAUUCCACGUGUAGCGGUGAAAUGCGUAGAGAUGUGGAGGAACACCAGUGGCGAAGGCGACUUCCUGGCCUGUAACUGACGCUGAGGCGCGAAAGCGUGGGGAGCAAACAGGAUUAGAUACCCUGGUAGUCCACGCCGUAAACGAUGAGUGCUAGGUGUUAGGGGUUUCGAUACCCUUGGUGCCGAAGUAAACACAGUAAGCACUCCGCCUGGGGAGUACGGUCGCAAGACUGAAACUCAAAGGAAUUGACGG
rnacentral:rRNA from 1 species